rnacentral:rRNA from 1 species
AGAGUUUGAUCAUGGCUCAGGACGAACGCUGGCGGCGCGCCUAACACAUGCAAGUCGAACGAGCGAGAGAGAGCUUGCUUUCUCGAGCGAGUGGCGAACGGGUGAGUAACGCGUGAGGAACCUGCCUCAAAGAGGGGGACAACAGUUGGAAACGACUGCUAAUACCGCAUAAGCCCACGGGUCGGCAUCGACCAGAGGGAAAAGGAGCAAUCCGCUUUGAGAUGGCCUCGCGUCCGAUUAGCUGGUUGGUGAGGUAACGGCCCACCAAGGCAGCGAUCGGUAGCCGGACUGAGAGGUUGAACGGCCACAUUGGGACUGAGACACGGCCCAGACUCCUACGGGAGGCAGCAGUGGGGAAUAUUGCACAAUGGGGGAAACCCUGAUGCAGCGACGCCGCGUGGAGGAAGAAGGUCUUCGGAUUGUAAACUCCUGUUGUUGGGGAAGAUAAUGACGGUACCCAACAAGGGAGUGACGGCUAACUACGUGCCAGCAGCCGCGGUAAAACGUAGGUCACAAGCGUUGUCCGGAAUUACUGGGUGUAAAGGGAGCGCAGGCGGGAAGACAAGUUGGAAGUGAAAUCCAUGGGCUCAACUCAUGAACUGCUUUCAAAACUGUUUUUCUUGAGUAGUGCAGAGGUAGGCGGAAUUCCCGGUGUAGCGGUGGAAUGCGUAGAUAUCGGGAGGAACACCAGUGGCGAAGGCGGCCUACUGGGCACCAACUGACGCUGAGGCUCGAAAGUGUGGGUAGCAAACAGGAUUAGAUACCCUGGUAGUCCACACCGUAAACGAUGAUUACUAGGUGUUGGAGGAUUGACCCCUUCAGUGCCGCAGUU